rnacentral:snRNA from 1 species
GUGCUCACUUCGGCAGCACAUACACUAAAAUUGGAAAGAUACAGAGGAGAUUAGCAUGGCCCCUGCGCAAGGAUGACACGCAAAUUCGUGAAGCAUUCCAUAUUUUU